UCCCACGACAUCGUCAAGGACCACACGC
rnacentral:piRNA from 1 species